UGGGGAAUAUUGCACAAUGGGCGCAAGCCUGAUGCAGCCAUGCCGCGUGUGUGAAGAAGGCCUUCGGGUUGUAAAGCACUUUCAGCGAGGAGGAAGGUGGUGAAGCUUAAUACGCUCAUCAAUUGACGUUACUCGCAGAAGAAGCACCGGCUAACUCCGUGCCAGCAGCCGCGGUAAUACGGGGGAGGUGCAAGCGUUAAUCGGAAUUACUGGGCGUAAAGCGCACGCAGGCGGUUUGUUAAGUCAGAUGUGAAAUCCCCGGGCUCAACCUGGGAACUGCAUUUGAAACUGGCAAGCUAGAGUCUCGUAGAGGGGGGUAGAAUUCCAGGUGUAGCGGUGAAAUGCGUAGAGAUCUGGAGGAAUACCGGUGGCGAAGGCGGCCCCCCUGGACGAAGACUGACGCUCAGGUGCGAAAAGCGUGGGGAGCAAACAGGAUUAGAUACCCUGGUAGUCCACGCUGUAAAACGAUGUCGAUUUUGGAGGUUGUGCCCUUGAGGCGUGGCCUCCGGAGCUAACGCGUU
rnacentral:rRNA from 1 species